rnacentral:rRNA from 1 species
UUGACCUCGGAUCAGGUAGGGAUACCCGCUGAACUUAAGCAUAUCAAUAAGCGGAGGAAAAGAAACCAACAGGGAUUGCCUCAGUAACGGCGAGUGAAGCGGCAAGAGCUCAAAUUUGAAAGCUGGCCCCCUCGGGGUCCGCAUUGUAAUUUGCAGAGGAUGCUUCGGGAGUGGCCCCCAUCUAAGUGCUCUGGAACGGGCCGUCAUAGAGGGUGAGAAUCCCGUAUGGGAUGGGGUGUCCGCGACCAUGUGAAGCUCCUUCAACGAGUCGAGUUGUUUGGGAAUGCAGCUCUAAAUGGGUGGUAAAUUUCAUCUAAAGCUAAAUAUUGGCCGGAGACCGAUAGCGCACAAGUAGAGUGAUCGAAAGAUGAAAAGCACUUUGAAAAGAGAGUUAAAAAGCACGUGAAAUUGUUGAAAGGGAAGCGCUUGCGACCAGACUCGCCUACGGGGUUCAGCCGGUAUUCGUACCGGUGUACUUCCCCGUGGGCGGGCCAGCGUCGGUUUGGGCGGCCGGUCAAAGGCCCUCGGAAUGUAACGCCUCUCGGGGCGCCUUAUAGCCGAGGGUGCCAUGCGGCCAGCCCAGACCGAGGAACG